CAACGACUCUCGGCAACGGAUAUCUCGGCUCUCGCAUCGAUGAAGAACGUAGCGAAAUGCGAUACUUGGUGUGAAUUGCAGAAUCCCGUGAACCAUCGAGUCUUUGAACGCAAGUUGCGCUUGAAGCCAUUAGGCUAAAGGCACGUCUGUCUGGGUGUCACAC
rnacentral:rRNA from 1 species